rnacentral:rRNA from 1 species
AUUGAACGCUGGCGGCAUGCUUUACACAUGCAAGUCGAACGGUAACAGGGAGCUUGCUCCGCUGACGAGUGGCGAACGGGUGAGUAAUGCAUCGGAACAUGCCCAGUCAUGGGGGAUAACUACGCGAAAGCGUAGCUAAUACCGCAUACGCCCUGAGGGGGAAAGUGGGGGGUCUUAGGACCUCACGUGAUUGGAGUGGCCGAUGUCAGAUUAGCUAGUUGGUGAGGUAAAGGCUCACCAAGGCGACGAUCUGUAGCGGGUCUGAGAGGAUGAUCCGCCACACUGGGACUGAGACACGGCCCAGACUCCUACGGGAGGCAGCAGUGGGGAAUUUUGGACAAUGGGCGCAAGCCUGAUCCAGCCAUGCCGCGUGAGUGAAGAAGGCCUCGG